UUCGCCGGUUAAAAGGGUACGCGAGCUGGGUUUAGAACGUCGUGAGACAGUUCGGUCUCUAUCUGGUGUGGGCGUUCGAUACUUGAAGGGGAAAUCUCCCCAGUACGAGAGGACCGGGAGAUACGGACCUCUGGUGUUCCAGUUAUCCUGCCAAGGGUAAUGGCUGGGUAGCCAUGUCCGGAAAGGAUAAGCGCUGAAUGCAUCUAAGCGCGAAGCCAACCUUAAGAUUAGGUAUCGUUCCUUGGACCGCAAGGUUCGGGGGAGAGGCUCCUCGUAGACUACGAGGUUGAUAGGCUGCAUGUGUAAGACCAGUAAUGGUUUUAGCUAAGCAGUACUAAUAAGCCAAAGGCUUGACCAU
rnacentral:ncRNA from 1 species